rnacentral:misc_RNA from 1 species
UUUCCGUAGGUGAACCUGCGGAAGGAUCAUUAUUGAAACUUCAUCCGGGGCGCCGCGGCCCUCAGCACCGGUGGAAACGCCGUGCUGCGGGGGCCGCGCGUGCACUCGUCCUAACCAAACCCCUGUGAACCUUACGGGAUGGCCCGGGUUAGCGCCCGGUGCCGUUCCGCUUUAUACAAACACUUAUCAAAGAAUGAACUGAAGGCGGUCUGACCGCUGGAUAACAAAUUGAAACAACUUUCAACAACGGAUCUCUUGGCUCUC